UCAAACGUGUGAAGCUUCCCGACACGCC
rnacentral:sRNA from 1 species